rnacentral:rRNA from 1 species
AUUAAACGCUGGCGGCAUGCCUUACACAUGCAAGUCGAACGGCAGCACGGGGGCAACCCUGGUGGCGAGUGGCGGACGGGUGAGUAAUGCAUCGGAACGUGCCAUUGAGUGGGGGAUAACGUAGCGAAAGUUGCGCUAAUACCGCAUAUUCUGUGAGCAGGAAAGCAGGGGACCGCAAGGCCUUGCGCUCUUUGAGCGGCCGAUGUCAGAUUAGCUAGUUGGUGAGGUAACGGCUUACCAAGGCGACGAUCUGUAGCGGGUCUGAGAGGAUGAUCCGCCACACUGGAACUGAGACACGGUCCAGACUCCUACGGGAGGCAGCAGUGGGGAAUUUUGGACAAUGGGCGCAAGCCUGAUCCAGCCAUGCCGCGUGAGUGAAGAAGGCC